rnacentral:rRNA from 1 species
UACGGAGGGUGCAAGCGUUGCUCGGAAUUAUUGGGCGUAAAGGGUAGGUAGGUGGUCUCAUUUGUCUGGGGUGAAAGCCUUGAGCUUAACUCAAGAAGUGCCCCAGAAACGGUGAGACUAGAGUCCUGGAGAGGGUCUGGAAUUCCACGUGUAGCAGUGAAAUGCGUAGAGAUGUGGAGGAACACCGAUGGCGAAGGCAGCCCCCUGGGUUAACACCUGACGCUCAGGCACGAAAAGCUAGGGGGAGCAAACCAGG